UAUACACAGCUUCAACAACCCUGCAAUGAAAAUCAAGCAUUUUGAUGGUAUAGUAACUGCUGCUACAUAAUUUUACACGGGGAUGGGUCAUAGGGUUGUGAUAUUUACCUUUAAGUUAGAUUUGUUCGUGUGUCUGUAUUUAUUUAUCCUUCUUGAAUAACCCUUACAGUGAAGAUAAAAGUGUAAUUAUUUUUACAACAAUGAAAGAUUCAGGGUGCCAGAACCUAAUAUCCUAGUGCCCAGCAACCAUAACUAGCAUCAGUGAAUAGCACUUCGAGGCUUUUAAUCUCCAUGACAACCUACCUUGCGUUCUCCCAUAAACUACCACUUUGCACGCAUACAAACAUGUUCUUUAUGCACACGGUCUACGUUAAUAAAUAUCACCUGCACUGAACACCAAAAAAAACUUCCUUUUAAACAACUCUGAGUUUUCCCUAUAAAACUAAUUAAUUGAACUGAGAAAGAGCUUAAUUUAUAUCUUUACAUCUAUAGCACACCUACGCAAUAAGCCACCAAAAGACUUUCGGAAAUAGAUGUUGAAACUGAUACCUUCUUCACGUGAAACGCCGCGGAGACACUCCCCCGAAACCCUCUUGGCUGUUCCAUCGGUAACACUUUCUUGUGAGAUACUGGUUGCCUGUGGUGGCCUGGUAAGCAGACUCUAA
rnacentral:lncRNA from 1 species